AACUUUGCACAGUGGCUGUAUCGUAAGCAAUGAGAUUUAAUCAAGGUGCGAUUAUUGCCAGUCGCAAAAUAAAUUGGUUUGAAAACAGCUUAAUUUGAUUGCAGAAUAUAUAUGCGAGGUUUACAAUAAC
rnacentral:snRNA from 1 species